CAAAGGAUGGUGGAUCUGCAUUCUGAUAUAGUGAGUAUGGGUCAGUUUUAAGAAUUCUCCUUCCUUGUCCUCUUGAAGUAUUUUGUUUUGGUUCAAGUCUUGCUUACAGAUGAGCAAUGUAGGCUUUUGUUGCACGGUAAAUUGGAUUAUAUCUUAAUACUUUUUUUCAAUGUUGCAUCUUCAUUUAGAAGCCAUUGCUAUGCACCCAAAUAGCUCAAUGUAAAGUUACUGAAAGUUUCAUAGUUCAAUCGCAAUAAUCC
rnacentral:misc_RNA from 1 species